rnacentral:rRNA from 1 species
AGGAGUGGAGCCUGCGGCUUAAUUUGACUCAACACGGGAAACCUCACCAGGCCCAGACACUGGAAGGAUUGACAGAUUGAGAGCUCUUUCUUGAUUCAGUGGGUGGUGGUGCAUGGCCGUUCUUAGUUGGUGGAGCGAUUUGUCUGGUUAAUUCCGAUAACGAACGAGACUCUAGCCUACUAAAUAGACGUUACACUUUCCUAGUAUCUCGAAGGCUCACAUCUCUCGUUAUUACUUUCUACACAUUGCCUGCAUUUCGGUGUUUGGUUUUUGUGUGGUUGGGCGGGAGUUUGUGGUUUUUACUACUGGCGUACAUAUAUAUCUUCUUAGAGGGACAGGCGGCUUCUAGCCGCACGAGAUUGAGCAAUAGCAGGUCUGUGAUGCCCUUAGAUGUUCUGGGCCG